rnacentral:lncRNA from 1 species
AGGGAUCGGAACUUCUAAAACCUAAUGAACGAUAUGAGAACUUGGUUGUGAGGAAUAUAUCAACUAUGCCUGCUCCUAAGAAGUUGGUCCAGCCAUCGUCUAAUGGAAUUCCAGCACCCCCACCAAGAACUACGCCUCCACCACCUCCAAAAAGAGCUAUGCCCCCACCACCUCCUCCACCUAAAUUUUAUGAUUCAAUUGAAGUUAAAGUACAAGACAAGAGCAAUAGUUUACG